rnacentral:rRNA from 1 species
GAGAUUUCCCAACUUCGGUUAUAAGAUCCCUCAAAGAUGAUGAGGUUAAUAGGUUCGAGGUGGAAGCAUGGUGACAUGUGGAGCUGACGAAUACUAAUCGAUCGAAGACUUAAUCAAA